rnacentral:rRNA from 1 species
AGUGGCGGACGGGUGAGUAACACGUAAGAAUUUGCCUUUAGGAGGGGGACAACAACUGGAAACGGUUGCUAAUACCCCAUAUGCUUUCGAGUAAAAUGGAUUUCCGCCUAAAGAGAAGCUUGCGGCUGAUUAGCUUGUUGGUAGGGUAAUGGCCUACCAAGGCGACGAUCAGUAUCUGGUUUGAGAGGACGAUCAGACACACUGGAACUGAGACACGGUCCAGACUCCUACGGGAGGCAGCAGUAGGGAAUUUUCCGCAAUGGGCGAAAGCCUGACGGAGCAAUACCGCGUGAGGGAUGAAUGCCUAUGGGUUGUAAACCUCUUUUUUCAGGGAGGAAUAAAUGACGUGUACCUGAAGAAUAAGCAUCGGCUAACUCCGUGCCAGCAGCCGCGGUAAGACGGAGGAUGCAAGUGUUAUCCGGAAUCACUGGGCGUAAAGCGUCUGUAGGUGGCUUAAUAAGUCAACUGUUAAAUCUUGAAGCUCAACUUCAAAAUCGCAGUCGAAACUAUUAGACUAGAGUAUAGUAGAGGUAAAGGGAAUUUCCAGUGGAGCGGUGUAAUGCGUAGAGAUUGGAAAGAACACCGAUGGCGAAGGCACUUUACUGGGCUAUUACUGACACUCAGAGACGAAAGCUAGGGUAGCAAAUGGGAUUAGAUACCCCAGUAGUCCUAGCCGUAAACAAUGGAUACUAGGUGUUGA